rnacentral:pre_miRNA from 3 species
UCUUAUGGAUGAGCUAAGAAAGUGGUUUUUUGAGAUGGAAACUACUGGUGAAGAUGCUGGGAA